GAUGAAGAACGUAGUGAAAUGCGAUAAGUAAUGUGAAUUCCAGAAUUCAGUGAAUCAUCGAAUCUUUGAACGCACAUUGCGCCCCUUGGUAUUCCAUGGGGCAUGCCUGUUCGAGCGUCAUUUGUACCUUCAAGCUCUGCUUGGUGUUGGGUGUUUGUCUCGCCUCUGCGUGUAGACUCGCCUCAAAACAAUUGGCAGCCGGCGUAUUGAUUUCGGAGCGCAGUACAUCUCGCGCUUUGCACUCAUAACGACGACGUCCAAAAGUACAUUUUUACACUCUUGACCUCGGAUCAGGUAGGGAUACCCGCUGAACUUAAGCAUAUCAAUAAGCGGAGGA
rnacentral:misc_RNA from 1 species